GAGUUUGAUCGUGGCUCAGAGUGAACGCUGGCGGUAGGCCUAACACAUGCAAGUCGAACGGCAGCACAGAGGAGCUUGCUCCUUGGGUGGCGAGUGGCGGACGGGUGAGGAAUACAUCGGAAUCUACUCUGUCGUGGGGGAUAACGUAGGGAAACUUACGCUAAUACCGCAUACGACCUACGGGUGAAAGCAGGGGAUCUUCGGACCUUGCGCGAUUGAAUGAGCCGAUGUCGGAUUAGCUAGUUGGCGGGGUAAAGGCCCACCAAGGCGACGAUCCGUAGCUGGUCUGAGAGGAUGAUCAGCCACACUGGAACUGAGACACGGUCCAGACUCCUACGGGAGGCAGCAGUGGGGAAUAUUGGACAAUGGGCGCAAGCCUGAUCCAGCCAUACCGCGUGGGUGAAGAAGGCC
rnacentral:rRNA from 1 species